rnacentral:rRNA from 1 species
GACAGAGGGUGCAAACGUUGUUCGGAAUUACUGGGCGUAAAGCGCGUGUAGGCUGCUCGGAAAGUCGGGUGUGAAAGCCCUGGGCUCAACCUAGGAAGUGCACUCGAAACUUCCGAGCUGGAGUGCUGGAGAGGAAGGUGGAAUUCUCGGUGUAGAGGUGAAAUUCGUAGAUAUCGAGAGGAACACCGGUGGCGAAGGCGGCCUUCUGGACAGCCACUGACGCUGGAGACGCGAAAGCCGUGGGGAGCAAACAGG